AGUGAACGCUGGCGGUAGGCCUAACACAUGCAAGUCGAACGGCAGCACAGUAAGAGCUUGCUCUUACGGGUGGCGAGUGGCGGACGGGUGAGGAAUACAUCGGAAUCUACUUUUUCGUGGGGGAUAACGUAGGGAAACUUACGCUAAUACCGCAUACGACCUACGGGUGAAAGCAGGGGAUCUUCGGACCUUGCGCGAUUGAAUGAGCCGAUGUCGGAUUAGCUAGUUGGCGGGGUAAAGGCCCACCAAGGCGACGAUCCGUAGCUGGUCUGAGAGGAUGAUCAGCCACACUGGAACUGAGACACGGUCCAGACUCCUACGGGAGGCAGCAGUAGGGAAUAUUGGACAAUGGGCGUAAGCCUGAUCCAGCCAUACCGCGUGGGUGAAGAAGGCCUUCGGGUUGUAAAGCCCUUUUGUUGGGAAAGAAAAGCAGCAGGUUAAUACCCCGCUGUUCUGACGGUACCCAAAGAAUAAGCACCGGCUAACUUCGUG
rnacentral:rRNA from 1 species